UUUGGUUCAAUGUAUUGCUAAUACGCCUGUAAUCCAUUACUUUCCUAAUCGCUUCAGCAAACCGUCCCUGUUUUACCCUCCCCGAUCCCCUUUGUUUCUCUUCUGUUCCUUCUAGCUUCAUCCGAUUUAUUUCCUUGUUUGUUUGCUUUUCUUUUCUGCCGAUUUGCUCCCAGUUUAUUUUCUUUGUAUUUGUAACAUGGGCGUUUCCUUCAUUAGCUGUGAAACUGAAAAGUCUCUCUUGCUUUCUCUCCCUCCCUCGAGUAUCUUCUCUUCGCAGGCAAACAAACAUUGCUCAAUUUCUUUUCUUAUUCCGAGUCUUGGUUAUCAGCUAAGCGCUUCUUGUGGAUUGUGAAGUGUGAUAUUUGUUUUUGGCUCUGUUGAUGGUUAAAUAAUUCUUUAUUCACGCAAAAGAGGAGCCUAGCCAACUACAAUAAAAGCAUCUGCGAAACUGAUAGUAAUCACGAUAGAGAAGUAUUCUGGAUAAGUGGAGGUAAGAUUAAGGGAAUGAAGGGCUGUCAACAUUCACAUGUUUUGUGCUCGCAGGGCAGGUUUCUUGCUCUCCACCCUGAGAGCUCUAGACAACCUUGGAUUGGACAUACAACAAGCUGUAAUCAGCUAUUUUAAUGGGUUUGCACUGGAUGUUUUCUGAGCUGAGCAAUGCAGGGAAGGCCAGGAUGUAUUGCCUGAGCAAAUCAAAGCAGUACUUUUGGAUUCAGCAGGUUCCGUGGGAUAAUGUGAGGGUGAAUGGUUGGCUUAUUAUGAUGGUAUUGGUAUGAACAGAGGCAAUAGUAAAUGUUGAUGUAAAGUAAUUAGUUGCUUCUCAUCCCAGUGGUGAAGCAAAUUUUACAAGGUAGUGAGCUUUGUAGGUAGCGCAAGCAAGUAGGCAAACAAUUGAUUUCUUAGUUAUUGUAUCACUUGAGAAUGAAGUUGAUUCUGAUGGAGGUUUUUAUUUAUUAUAUUUAUUUUCUUUUUUCUUUUGGGUUAA